rnacentral:rRNA from 1 species
GACGAACGCUGGCGGCGCGCCUAACACAUGCAAGUCGAACGGAGCUGAGAGAAGCUUGCUUUUCUUAGCUUAGUGGCGAACGGGUGAGUAACGCGUGUGUAACCUGCCCUGGAGUGGGGGACAACAGUUGGAAACGACUGCUAAUACCGCAUAAGCUCACGAUCCGGCAUCGGCUCGAGGGAAAAGGAUUUAUUCGCUUCAGGAUGGACUCGCGUCCGAUUAGCUAGUUGGUGAGGUAACGGCCCACCAAGGCGACGAUUGGUAGCCGGACUGAGAGGUUGAACGGCCACAUUGGGACUGAGACACGGCCCAGACUCCUACGGGAGGCAGCAGUGGGGGAUAUUGCACAAUGGGGGAAACCCUGAUGCAGCGACGCCGCGUGGAGGAAGAAGGUUUUCGGAUUGUAAACUCCUGUCGUUAGGGACGAUAAUGACGGUACCUAACAAGAAAGCACCGGCUAACUACGUG